GGUGAACGCUGGCGGCGUGCCUAACACAUGCAAGUCGAGCGGGUACCCGCAAGGGUACCAGCGGCGCACGGGUGAGUAACACGUGGGUAAUCUACCCCUCGGAGGGGGAUAACCGGGGGAAACUCCGGCUAAUACCCCAUACGAUCCAACAACACAAGUUGUUGGAUGAAAGGAGCGUUUGCUCCGCCGAGGGAUGAGCCCGCGGCCCAUCAGGUAGUUGGUGGGGUAAUGGCCCACCAAGCCUACGACGGGUAGCCGGCCUGAGAGGGUGGUCGGCCACAAGGGCACUGAGACACGGGCCCUACUCCUACGGGAGGCAGCAGUGGGGAAUCUUGGACAGUGGGCGAAAGCCUGAUCCAGCGACGCCGCGUGGGGGAUGAAGCCCUUCGGGGUGUAAACCCCUGUUGCGAGGGAGGAAUAAGGCCUGGAGGAAAUGCCAGGCCGAUGACUGUACCUCGCGAGGAAGCCCCGGCUAACUACGUGCCAGCAGCCGCGGUAAUACGUAGGGGGCGAGCGUUACCCGGAUCCACUGGGCGUAAAGCGGGUGUAGGCGGCUCGGUAAGUCGGGUGUGAAAUCCCACAGCUCAACUGUGGAAUUGCGCCCGAAACUGCUGAGCUUGGGGCCGGUAGAGGGAGACGGAACUGCCGGUGUAGGGGUGAAAUCCGUAGAUAUCGGCAGGAACGCCGGUGGGGAAGCCGGUCUCCUGGGCCGCGCCCGACGCUGAGACCCGAAAGCUAGGGGAGCAAACC
rnacentral:rRNA from 1 species